UUUUACGGUUUAGUUAAAAACAUAUAACUGUACUGUAUUUGCAAAUUUUCAAUACGCAAAAUUAAAAUUCUGUUCACAAUCUCGGCCUCAGGUAUAUUCUCAAAAUAUUCUAAAAGUUUCGCAAAUUUCAGCCUCGAUUUUCUGAUAAAGCGUUCCUUGAAUAGACAAGUUACAAUACUUCCGGUUUGCCUGGGAACCGGAAAACAGGAAACCCGCAACAGUCGUUCAGUUGUUGGCUAUUGUAGUGCCAGUCCUUCUCCGCGUUGAACUCAUUUUGCGAAGAGCGCCUUCUGCGACAAGUCUAUUUCAGUUCUUUGUUCCUCGAUUUUUCUCGGCUACAGUGCGAUGGGUAGUUUUGAAAUGCACUUGAACUUUAAAAAUGGUAAAGUCAACCAGCUGAGAGGAAGCAAUUCCAAUGCAAUGACAAGGAACACACCUCGAUCUUCCAAGGCAAUGUCGGUCUUUUUCAUUGAAGAAUGGAUUCAAAGAUGCUCACAGAUCGCCGAGCAUGGUGGGGGAGACUACAAGCAAAUGGAGCUAAAUACACAGAAAUCGAUCAACUUACAAGAACUAAC